rnacentral:lncRNA from 1 species
GCUCAGGGAUGCCUGCAGCUGCUGAAGGCGGCCUGGUCUCGGCUGGGGCCCAGGAAGCUGGAGCAGCUCCUCGCUGACUUCUGCAGAGACGGGGGCAGCCCCUGCAUCUGGUGGUCCCGGGAAGGGCAUCUCGGACGAGAGUCUCCGUGGAGGCCGGGGUAUACCGCCCAGGGCUGGCCCGGCCUGAGGGGGGAAGCACAGACCAGGAAGGAGGCUCGGGUGCGGGCUGCUGCAGCCUCCGAAACCCGCUGGAGCGGCCGCCCUGGGACAGGGGCGGGGGAGGAGCCCGAGGUCGGCUUCGAGGGUCUCGGGUCGCCCCGCUCCCCGCUGGAAGGGCACGUGUGCGGGCAGGUUGGGGAGAAAGGCUGCGGGGUGGCCGCCCUGGACCCUCACCUGGCGCGUGGCUCUCAGGUUGGCCUUAAGCCUCGCCCCGUAGUCGGCCGCGGCCCCCGCAGAGCCUGGCGCAGAGCCGGCGGCGUGAGGCCUCCGCGUCGCUGCCCGACUCAGGUGCGGCCCCCAGCAGCUGGGCUCCUGCAUCUGCGGGGAGACACGGCGGGCGUCCGAGCCCCCCCCCGGCCCCAGGUCGUGCCCCGGAGAGGCUGGCGGGCCGGCGACCCCAGGCCUCGGUACCUCCUCCGCCGUCGGCCGCGGCUGCUUGGGGCUGCGGGGUCCCGCGCCGCCGGUCCGGCCCAGGGCCCUCCUCAGCGCGCGGUACUCCCGGUAGAGCGCUGCGGGUGCGGCCAGGAGUCAGCGGGGCCGCCGGGCUCCGCCGCCACCCCCCCCCCCCCCGCCCCGCGCGCUCACCGCGGGUCUCCUCCGGCGCCGCCAGCACGUCCUCCUGCGGAGGGAGCCCGUCAGCUCUCAGCCGCCCGCCCCUGGCCCGGCCCGCCCGCCCCUGGCCCGCCCGCACCUGGCCCGGCCGCCGCCCGCGCUGCCGCCGGAACGCGCGCUCCCAGGCCUGCAGCCGCCCGCGCACGUCCCGCAACCGCUCCAUGGCGCCGCACGCCGGCCCGGUCCCGCGAACCUCCCGCCGCCGCGGCCGCCGGCCAAUGGGGGCGCCGGGCAGGGCGGGAGGCGGGGCGGCUCGGCCGCGGCGGCGGGACAGCCAAUCCGCGGCGCCCGGGGGCGCGGCCAAUGGGGGACGGCCACGUCAUCCCGGCGCGCGGAGGCGGUGGCGGGGCGCGGCGGACGGCGAGGCGGGGCCCGCGGCGGUGGCGGCAGUGGCGGAGCCGGUGA